rnacentral:sRNA from 29 species
GGAAGCCGGUGGGAAUCCGGCACGGUCGCGCCACUGUGUUCCGGGGCGUUCCGCUCGGCGCCCGGGGAGUCAGAC